rnacentral:rRNA from 1 species
CAGUAGCCGCGGUAAUACGAAGGGGGCUAGCGUUGCUCGGAAUGACUGGGCGUAAAGGGCGCGUAGGCGGCGAUCAAAGUCAGGCGUGAAAUUCCUGGGCUCAACCUGGGGGCUGCGUUUGAUACUUGAUUGCUAGAGUGGGGAAGAGGGUCGUGGAAUUCCCAGUGUAGAGGUGAAAUUCGUAGAUAUUGGGAAGAGCACCGGUGGCGAAGGCGGCGACCUGGUCCUUGACUGACGCUGAGGCGCGAAAGCGUGGGGAGCAAACAGGAUUAGAUACCCCCGUAGUCCCUGUCUCUUAUAC